UACAGGCUGCGUUGUACGUAAUCAUAACGAAGUUUUAACCUUUAAACUGUAAUAGGGAGUUUUACAUCGAAGUUGGAAUGUCAAGCCUCCACGAUUGAGGACGACAGGAAACCUUCUGCAAACACCCACUUUGAGGAGUGGUGGUUUAAAACUUUCUUAUAUCAAAUUACGGCAACUGUGGCUCAUAA
rfam:Bacillus vietnamensis strain TCD-SED5 scaffold_4, whole genome shotgun sequence.